rnacentral:rRNA from 1 species
CCUACGGGGGGCUGCAGUGGGGAAUAUUGGACAAUGGGCGAAAGCCUGAUCCAGCCAUGCCGCGUGUGUGAAGAAGGCCUUCGGGUUGUAAAGCACUUUUAGUGGGGAAGAAAGCCUUGGGGCUAAUACCCUCGAGGAAGGACAUCACCCACAGAAGAAGCACCGGCUAACUCCGUGCCAGCAGCCGCGGUAAUACGGAGGGUGCGAGCGUUAAUCGGAAUUACUGGGCGUAAAGCGCGCGUAGGCGGUCUGAUAAGCCGGUUGUGAAAGCCCCGGGCUCAACCUGGGAACGGCAUCCGGAACUGUCAGGCUAGAGUGCAGGAGAGGAAGGUAGAAUUCCCGGUGUAGCGGUGAAAUGCGUAGAGAUCGGGAGGAAUACCAGUGGCGAAGGCGGCCUUCUGGACUGACACUGACGCUGAGGUGCGAAAGCGUGGGUAGCAAACAGGAUUAGAUACCCCAGUAGUC